AGUGAACGCUGGCGGUAGGCCUAACACCUGCAAGUCGAACGGCAGCACAGUACGACCUUGCUCUUCCGGGUGGCUGGUGGCGGACCGGUGAGGAAUACAUCGCACUCUACUUUUUCGUGGGCGAUAACGUAGAGCAACUUACGCUAAUACAUCAUACGACCUACGGGUGAAAGCAGGGGAUCUUGCGACCUUGCGCGAGUCAAUGCGCCGCUGUCGGAUUAGCUAGUUGGCGGGGUAAAUGGGCACCAAGGCGUCGAUCCGUAGCUGGUCUGAGAGGAUGACCAGCCACACGGGAACUGAGCCACCGUCCAGACUCCUACGGGAGGCAGCAGCGGGGAAUAGUGGACAAUGGGCGCAAGCCUGAUACAGCCAUACCGCGGAGGUGAAUAAGGCGUUCCGGUUGUAAAGCCCUCUUGUUGGGAAAGAAAAGCAGUAGGUUAGUACCUCGCCGUUCUGACGAUACCCAAAGAAUAAGCACCGGCUAACUUCGUG
rnacentral:rRNA from 1 species